rnacentral:Y_RNA from 1 species
GCCUGGUUCAAGUAUGGUGGUGUUUGCAACUGAUUGAUCACAACCAGUUACAGAUUUCUUUGUUCCUUCUCCAUUACCACUGCUUCACUUGACUAGCCUUAA